GAUGAACGCUGGCGGCGUGCCUAAUACAUGCAAGUAGAACGCUGAAGGAGGAGCUUGCUCUUCUGGAUGAGUUGCGAACGGGUGAGUAACGCGUAGGUAACCUGCCUGGUAGCGGGGGAUAACUAUUGGAAACGAUAGCUAAUACCGCAUGACAACAGUUAUUGCAUGAUAACUGUUUAAAAGGGGCAACUGCUCCACUACCAGAUGGACCUGCGUUGUAUUAGCUAGUUGGUGAGGUAACGGCUCACCAAGGCGACGAUACAUAGCCGACCUGAGAGGGUGAUCGGCCACACUGGGACUGAGACACGGCCCAGACUCCUACGGGAGGCAGCAGUAGGGAAUCUUCGGCAAUGGACGGAAGUCUGACCGAGCAACGCCGCGGGAGUGAAGAAGGUUUUCGGAUCGUAAAGCUCUGUUGUAAGAGAAGAACGAGUGUGAGAGUGGAAAGUUCACACUGUGACGGUAGCUUACCAGAAAGAGACGGCUAACUACGUG
rnacentral:rRNA from 1 species